rnacentral:misc_RNA from 1 species
UUUCCGUAGGUGAACCUGCGGAAGGAUCAUUUAUGAGCGAGCCUUAAUGGCGAGCAUUAUAUCCAUAACACUGUGAACUGUUGACUCUUUUAGAGUCUUUUUUACAAAACUUUUGUGUAUGAACGUAUUAAACUAUAAUCAAUAUAACUUUCAACAACGGAUCUCUUGGCUCUC